rnacentral:rRNA from 1 species
GAUGAACGCUAGCGGCAGGCUUAAUACAUGCAAGUCGAGGGGCAGCACGGUUAGCAAUAACUGGUGGCGACCGGCGCACGGGUGCGUAACACGUAUACAAUCUACCUUAAACAGGGGGAUAGCCUUUCGAAAGAGAGAUUAAUACCCGUAAUAAAUUGAACGGCAUCGUUUGAUUUUGAAAGCUCCGGCGGUUUGAGAUGAGUAUGCGUCUGAUUAGCUAGUUGGUGAGGUAACGGCUCACCAAGGCGACGAUCAGUAGGGGAUCUGAGAGGACUAACCCCCACACUGGUACUGAGACACGGACCAGACUCCUACGGGAGACAGCAGUAAGGAAUAUUGGUCAAUGGAGGCAACUCUGAACCAGCCAUGCCGCGUGCAGGAUGACGGCCCUAUGGGUUGUAAACUGCUUUUAUACAAGAGAAAACCCUGGUACGUGUACCAGGUUGAUAGUAUUGUAAGAAUAAGCAUCGGCUAACUUCGUAGCCAGCAGCCGC